CUUUAAUUGGAACAAGAUAAAAU
rnacentral:snRNA from 1 species